GUGCCCUUCUCUAAGGAAUAGCCACUGGAAACGGUGAGUAAUACCUUAUACGCCCUUCGGGGAAAGAUUUAUCGGAGAAGGAUCGGCCCGCGUUAGAUUAGAUAGUUGGUGGGGUAACGGCCUACCAAGUCUACGAUCUAUAGCUGGUUUUAGAGGAUGAUCAGCAACACUGGGACUGAGACACGGCCCAGACUCCUACGGGAGGCAGCAGUGGGGAAUCUUGGACAAUGGGCGCAAGUGAUCCAGCCAUGCCGCGUGAGUGAUGAAGGCCUUAGGGUCGUAAAGCUCUUUCGCCAGGGAUGAUAAUGACAGUACCUGGUAAAGAAACCCCGGCUAACUCCGUGCCAGCAGCCGCGGUAAUACGGAGGGGGUUAGCGUUGUUCGGAAUUACUGGGCGUAAAGCGUACGUAGGCGGAUUAGUCAGUCAGAGGUGAAAUCCCAGGGCUCAACCCUGGAACUGCCUUUGAUACUGCUAGUCUUGAGUUCGAGAGAGGUGAGUGGAAUUCCGAGUGUAGAGGUGAAAUUCGUAGAUAUUCGGAGGAACACCAGUGGCGAAGGGGCUCACUGGCUCGAUACUGACGCUGAGGUACGAAAGUGUGGGGAGCAAACAGGAUUAGAUACCCUGGUAGUCCACACCGUAAACGAUGAAUGCCAGUCGUCGGGCAGUAUACUGUUCGGUGACACACCUAACGGAUUAAGCAUUCCGCCUGGGGAGUACGGUCGCAAGAUUAAAACUCAAAGGAAUUGACGGG
rnacentral:rRNA from 1 species